GCACUAAUAGUUUAGUGGUUAGAAUCACCGCUUCCCAAGCGGUGGACCCGAGUUCGAAUCUCGGUUAGUGCA